rnacentral:rRNA from 1 species
AUUGAACGCUGGCGGCAUGCCUUACACAUGCAAGUCGAACGGCAGCACGGGAGCAAUCCUGGUGGCGAGUGGCGAACGGGUGAGUAAUAUAUCGGAACGUGCCCAGUCGUGGGGAUAACGUAGCGAAAGCUACGCUAAUACCGCAUACGAUCUAUGGAUGAAAGCGGGGGAUCGCAAGACCUCGCGCGAUUGGAGCGGCCGAUAUCAGAUUAGGUAGUUGGUGAGGUAAAGGCUCACCAAGCCGACGAUCUGUAGCUGGUCUGAGAGGACGACCAGCCACACUGGGACUGAGACACGGCCCAGACUCCUACGGGAGGCAGCAGUGGGGAAUUUUGGACAAUGACGCAAGUCUGAUCCAGCCAUUCCGCGUGCAGGAUGAAGGCCCUCGGG